rnacentral:tRNA from 1 species
GGGAAGGUGGCUCAGUGACAGAGUGUAUGCCUCCCAUGCAUGAAGCCCUGGGUUCGAUUCCUCAGCCCA